rnacentral:piRNA from 1 species
UCUCAUGUCAUUCUUGUCAUACUUCUCUCCC